UUUCCUCGUCUUUUUCUUUUGUUUCUUUUUCUAACUCAUUUUCUCUUCUUUCUUCAACUUCUUUUUCAAUUUUCUUUUUUGUUUCACAUUCCUUUUCACUCUCAAUCUCUUUUUGCUCUUUUUCAUUCUCUUUUUCUUUUUCCUCACUUGUUUUAACAGAAUUUCUCAGUUUGAUUUGGUCAUCAUGGACUUGUUCCGG
rnacentral:lncRNA from 1 species